rnacentral:rRNA from 1 species
GAUGAACGCUGGCGGCGUGCCUAAUACAUGCAAGUCGAGCGAACAGAUGAGGAGCUUGCUCCUCUGACGUUAGCGGCGGACGGGUGAGUAACACGUGGAUAACCUACCUAUAAGACUGGGAUAACUUCGGGAAACCGGAGCUAAUACCGGAUAAUAUAUUGAACCGCAUGGUUCAAUAGUGAAAGACGGUUUUGCUGUCACUUAUAGAUGGAUCCGCGCCGCAUUAGCUAGUUGGUAAGGUAACGGCUUACCAAGGCAACGAUGCGUAGCCGACCUGAGAGGGGGAAGGGCCACAAUGGAAGUGAGACAGGGUCCAGACUCCUACUGGGGGACGGGGUGGAGAAUCUCCCGAGAGGGCAGAAGGCGGGAGGGGGCAACGCCGGGUGAGUGAUGAGGGUAUUAGGAUGUGAAAACUGUGUUAUUAGGGAAGAACAAAUGUUUAAGUAACUAUGCACAUCUUGACGGUACCGAAUGAGAAAGCCACGGCUAAGUACGUG